rnacentral:rRNA from 1 species
UACGUAGGUGGCAAGCGUUGUCCGGAUGUACUGGGCGUAAAGAGCGCGCAGGCGGUCGUUCAAGUCGCGUGUGAAAGCCCCCGGCUCAACUGGGGAGGGUCACGCGAUACUGAUCGACUGGAAGGCAGGAGAGGGUAGUGGAAUUCCCGGUGUAGUGGUGAAAUGCGUAGAUAUCGGGAGGACCACCAGUGGCGAAGGCGACUACCUGGCCUGUUCUUGACGCUGAGGCGCGAAAGCUAGGGGAGCAAACGGG